rnacentral:rRNA from 1 species
GAGUUUGAUCCUGGCUCAGAUUGAACGCUGGCGGCAGGCCUAACACAUGCAAGUCGAGCGGUAGAGAGAAGCUUGCUUCUCUUGAGAGCGGCGGACGGGUGAGUAAUGCCUAGGAAUCUGCCUGGUAGUGGGGGAUAACGCUCGGAAACGGACGCUAAUACCGCAUACGUCCUACGGGAGAAAGCAGGGGACCUUCGGGCCUUGCGCUAUCAGAUGAGCCUAGGUCGGAUUAGCUAGUUGGUGAGGUAAUGGCUCACCAAGGCGACGAUCCGUAACUGGUCUGAGAGGAUGAUCAGUCACACUGGAACUGAGACACGGUCCAGACUCCUACGGGAGGCAGCAGUGGGGAAUAUUGGACAAUGGGCGAAAGCCUGAUCCAGCCAUGCCGCGUGUGUGAAGAAGGUCUUCGGAUUGUAAAGCACUUUAAGUUGGGAGGAAGGGCAGUAAAUUAAUACUUUGCUGUUUUGACGUUACCGACAGAAUAAGCACCGGCUAACUCCGU